rnacentral:rRNA from 1 species
CGGACGGGUGAGUAAUGUCUGGGAAACUGCCUGAUGGAGGGGGAUAACUACUGGAAACGGUAGCUAAUACCGCAUAACGUCGCAAGACCAAAGAGGGGACCUUCGGGCCUCUUGCCAUCAGAUGUGCCCAGAUGGGAUUAGCUUGUUAGUGGGGUAACGGCUCACCAAGGCGACGAUCCCUAGCUGGUCUGAGAGGAUGACCAGCCACACUGGAACUGAGACACGGUCCAG